rnacentral:rRNA from 1 species
UACAAGGUGCUGCAUGGUUGUCGUCAGCUCGUGCGUGAGGUGUCGGGUUAAGUCCCAUACGAGCGCAACCCCUAUCAUUAGUUGCCAUCAGGUCAAGCUGGGGACUCUAAUGAAACUGCCUACGCAAGUAGUGAGGAAGGUGGGGAUGACGUCAAAUCAGCACGGCCCUUACGUCCAGGGCUACACACGUGCUACAAUGGCCGGUACAAAGGGCAGCUACCUGGUGACAGGAUGCAAAUCUCCAAAGUCGGUCUCAGUUCGGAUCGGAGUCUGCAACCCGACUCCGUGAAGUUGGAUUCGCUAGUAAUCGCGCAUCAGCCAUGGCGCGGUGAAUACGUUCCCGGGCCUU